rnacentral:SRP_RNA from 1 species
GCCAGGCAUGGUGGCUCAUGCCUGUAAUCCCAGCACUUUGGGAGGCUGAGGUGGGCAGAUCACUGGAGGUCAGGAGUUCAGCCUGGCCAACACAGUGAAACCCCACCUCUA